UGGAUUAUGAGGAGGUAUUGAUGCAUAAUCCAACACUUGAUCCGAGGGGUGGCAUGAGCUGCCUGUGUGAUGUCAUCUUUGCAACUGAAUCCAU
rfam:Triticum aestivum genome assembly, contig: Triticum_aestivum_CS42_TGACv1_scaffold_002590_1AL